UAGCAAUGGGAUAUUUUUCCGGGCUCUGGCUAAAGAGCCGGUGGUUAUUUUUAGCUCAGCUGCAGAUCAAUAGGAAGCUGUGUUUUCGGCUGCCGGGGAAGAUGAUGUUUGGGGAGGGGAAUGAGGGCUGGAUUUCUCGUCAAAGGGAAACAAAAAAACCCCUCAGGUCACAGAAACAUCUCUGCUAUGAACCCUGCUGGUGCUAAACCCACUGAGCCUGUCAGAUUCAAGAGCCAUGCUGCUUCACCAUUCUUGGGGUCUCUGUCGCCAGAAUAAAAUGAGAAAACCUUUAGCUUCAAAGCGAAA